UAGCCAGACUCCUACGGGAGGCAGCAGUGGGGGAUAUUGCACAAUGGGGGAAACCCUGAUGCAGCGACGCCGCGUGUGGGAAGACGGUCCUCUGGAUUGUAAACCACUGUCCCCAGGGACGAAGAUGACGGUACCUGACCAAGAAGCUCCGGCUAAAUACGUGCCAGCAGCCGCGGUAAUACGUAUGGAGCAAGCGUUAUCCGGAUUUACUGGGUGUAAAGGGAGCGCAGGCGGCCUUGCAAGUCUGAUGUGAAAGGCCGGGGCCCAACCCCGGGACUGCAUUGGAAACUGCGAGGCUGGAGUGUCGGAGAGGCAGGCGGAAUUCCUAGUGUAGCGGUGAAAUGCGUAGAUAUUAGGAGGAACACCAGUGGCGAAGGCGGCCUGCUGGGCGAUGACUGACGCUGAGGCUCGAAAGCGUGGGGAGCAAACAGGAUUAGAUACCCGUGUAC
rnacentral:rRNA from 1 species